GCUCAAAGCUGAGGUAUUAAUUAAUUAACUAAUACUUCCUCCAUUCUAAUUUAUACAUUUCUAAAACAACAGUUUUUACAACAAAAAAAAAAGGCAUAACAUUAUUCAAUCAAUUAAGAAUAGAACUAAUAGUAUGUUACACUUUAUAUACAAGUAGUUUUAAAUAAGUAUCACUAACUUUGAAUUAAACAGGUAAAAAACAUAUACUAUCUCUAAACUUUGGACAGGAUAUGAAGUAGUAUAUUCCUAUCACAAUUUAGUGCUUAAUUACUCUUCAUUUUUAUUUUCAAAAGUUCAUUCUUAAAUGGCCAAAAAAGAGAUGUGCUUGAAUAUAUAUGGUUAACAUACAUGAUAUACUUAUAGAAAAAAUAUUCAUAAAUUAAUGACGAAAACUGUCCGGCAGACAUCACAAUAUAUAUAGUACAGAUCAUGUUGUGAAAAAAAUAUAGGUAACGACAAAACUUAACCAUCAGUGUGGGGUGCAAAAUUUCCAAACUUAUAUAUAUAUAUAUAUAUAUAUAUAUAUAUAUAUAUAUAUAUAUAUAUAUAUAUAAUAGUAGUGUCAAAUGUCAAUAAUAGACAUUUAAGUCCUACCUGCUGAACACCUGGCUAAGCAUGUAGUUAGUAAAUUGAUUGGGACCUUACUGGACUGGUCCCGGCCGGCCGCCUAAAUAUUCGAACUUAACUUGUAAAUAUGUCAAGCUCGACAGUAGGAGAACCGUUUCCAUUUCUUUAUCGCUUGAAAUUAAGACGUAUAUAUCCCGAUAGGCGAUAGCAAGUAUUUAUGGCGUCUGAUCAAAAGAGAAAAGGGAGGGGGCGGGAUAUAUGGGAGCCUCCAAUUUUAAACUGGUGCAUGUGGCGCUUCUAGAUGCUUUUGAUCAAUCGAACAGGAAGAGGUACAUGUUGGAGAAAAUCCCACUUUACUUUUUUCCUAAAAAAUAUGGAUCUCUCUUUUGUCAAUCCCACUUCUUUUACGUCAUUCUAGUAAACACAGCAGAAGCAGAAAAGCUAGCCCCUAAAGCGGUGUUAAAAAUUUCUACAGGAGAGUUUCUUUAUACAAUGCCAAAUAAAAUAGCAUCUGUUCUGUACUGAAUUCCCCACU
rnacentral:lncRNA from 1 species